rnacentral:rRNA from 2 species
AGGGUUUGAUCCUGGCUCAGGAUGAACGCUGGUGGUGUGUUUAAGGCAUGCAAGUCAUGGGGCUCCUUCGGGAGUAACCGGCGAACGGGUUAGUAACACUUGGGUAAUCUACCCAAUUCAUGGAGAUAACUUCGAGAAAUCGAAGCUAAUAUUCAAUAGUCUGACAAAACUUAUGUUUUGUUAGUAAAGGUUUUCCGGAAUUGGAUGAGCCUGAGGCUUAUCAGCUCGUUGGUAAGGUAAAAGCUUACCAAGGCAAUGACGGGUCGGGGGUGUGAGAGCACGAUCCCCAACAGUGGCAUUGAGACACGGGCCUCACUCCUACGGGAGGCAGCAGUCGAGAAUCUUCGGCAAUGGGCGAAAGCCUGACCGAGCGACACCACGUGACUGAAGACGUCCUACGGGAUGUAAAGGUCUUUUCAUUGGGAAGAAUCUUCGGAUGACGGUACCAAUGGAAUAAGAGGAUUCUAACUCCGUGCCAGCAGAAGCGGUAAUACGGAGUCCUCAAGCGUUAUCCGGAUUUAUUGGGCGUAUAGGGUCCGCAGGCGGUUUAACAAGUUUUCAGUUAAAUUCCAAGAGCUCAACUUUUGGGCAACUGAGAAAACUGUUAAACUAGAGGCUACCAGAGGCCGGUAGAACUCACGGUGGAGGAGUGGAAUCCGUUGAUCUCGUGAGGAAUGCCGAAAGCGAAAGCAGCCGGCUAGGGUAAGCCUGACGCUCAGGGACGAAAGCGUGGGUAGCGAAGAGGAUUAGAGACCCUCGUAGUCCACGCCGUUAACGAUGGAUACUGGCUAUUGGAAGUGUCGACCCUUUCAGUGGCGAAGCUAACGCGUUAAGUAUCCCGCCUGGGUAGUACGGCCGCAAGGCUAAAACUCAAAGGAAUAGACGGGGACCUACACAAGCGGUGGAUCAUGUGGCUUAAUUCGACGCUAAGCGAAGGACCUUACCAGGGAUUGACAUACUAGUGAAGUCUGGUGAAAACCGGACGUGCCUUCGGGAGCACUAGUACAGGUGCUGCAUGGCUGUCGUCAGUUCGUGUUUUGAAAUGUGCCGUUAAGUCGGAGAACGAACGCAACCCCUGUCCUAUGUUUCAAGUGUCAUAGGAGACUGCCCCGAACAACGGGGAGGAAGGUGGGGAUGACGCCAAGUCAGCAUGGCCCUUUGAUACCCUGGGCUGCACACAUGGUACAAUGGGACCUUACAAUGCGCAGCGACAUCGCGAGAUGAAGCUAAUCGCUAAAAGGUUUCUAAGUUCGGAUUGGAGUCUGCAACUCGACUCUAUGAAGGCGGAAUCGCUAGUAAUCGCCGGUCAGCCACACGGCGGUGAAUUUGUUCCUAGGUCUUGUACUCACUGCCCGUCAAGUCAGAAAAGUUGGUAACACCCGAAGCUCUCCCGGACGGGAGAACAGAGGUGGGACCAAUGAUUAGGACUAAGUCGUAACAAGGUAGCCG